rnacentral:rRNA from 1 species
AUAUAGAUUAAGUUACUAAGAGCGUAUGGUGGAUGCCUUGGUAUCCGGAAGCGAUGAAAGACGCGGUAAGCUGCGAUAAGCAUUGGGGAGCUGCCUAACAAGCUAUGAUCCAGUGAUUUCUGAAUGGGAAAACCCACCGAGAUAAAAUUUCGGUAUCUAUAAUUGAAUUCAUAGGUUAUAGAGGCGAACGAGGGGAACUGAAACAUCUAAGUACCCUCAGGAAAAGAAAACAAUAGUGAUUUCCUUAGUAGCGGCGAGCGAAACGGAAAGAGCCUAAACCAUGCAUAAUUAUAGCCUGUAAGCGUUUUAUGCAUGGGGUUACGAGAUGUCUUUGGGGUUUUACAGAGACCCGAUGGAGUUACAAAAUUAAUUCAUAGUUGAACAGUCUGGAAAGGUUGAUCAUAGUGGGUGAUAAUCCCGUAAACGAAAUGAAUUAGUCUCCAUAAGAUAUUCUCAAGUACUGCGGAACACGUGAAAUUUUGCAGGAAUUACGGAGGACCAUCUCCGAAGGCUAAAUAUUACCGGAUGACCGAUAGUGAACUAGUACCGUGAGGGAAAGGUGAAAAGCACCCCGAGAGGGGAAUGAAAUAGUAUCUGAAACCAUAUGUUUACAAUCAGUAGAAGCUCUAUGUUUAUUAGCAAUAAUAAGCAGAGCGACUGCGUGCCUUUUGCAUAAUGAGUCAGCGAGUUAUUAUGUAUAGCAAGGUUAAGCCGUUAAUGGUGGAGCCGAAGCGAAAGCAAGUCUUAAUAGGGCGAAUUAGUUAUACGUAAUAGACCCGAAGCCAAGUGAUCUAUCCAUGGUCAGGAUGAAGCAGGAGUAAAAUCCUGUGAAGGUCCGAACACACUAACGUUGAAAAGUUAGGUGAUGAACUGUGGAUGGGGGUGAAAGGCCAAUCAAACUUGGAGAUAGCUGGUUCUCCUCGAAAUAUAUUUAGGUAUAGCCUCGCAAAUUAGUAACCGGGGGUAGAGCACUGGAUGAGCUAGGGGUCUUACCGGACUACCAAACUCAAUCAAACUCCGAAUACCGGUUAUGUUAUUGCGGGAGUCAGACUGUAGGAGAUAACUUCUAUGGUCAAAAGGGAAACAACCCAGAUCGCCAGCUAAGGUCCCAAAAUUCAUGCUAAGUGGAAAAGGAUGUGGAAGCGCAUUGACAACCAGGAGGUUGGCUUAGAAGCAGCCAUCCUUAAAAGAAAGCGUAAUAGCUCACUGGUCAAGUGAAUCCGCGCCUAAAAUGUACCGGGGCUAAGCAUGAUACCGAAGCUGCGACUAUGUAUGUAAAUACAUGGGGUAGAGGAGCAUUCCGACAACCGCUGAAGGUAGAUCGAAAGAACUGCUGGAGGAAUCGGAAGAGAGUAUGCUGACAUAAGUAGCGAGAAAAUAUGUGAAAAACAUAUUCGCCGUAAGUCUAAGGUUUCCUGAGCAAGGUUAAUCCUCUCAGGGUUAGUCGAUCCCUAAGUCGAGGCCGAAAGGCGUAGAUAAUGGGAAACGGGUUAAUAUUCCCGUACUACAAUAUUAGCGUCACCAGUGAAGGGGGGACGCAGAAGGAUAGGUUGUCCUGCUGACGGAAUAGCAGGUUUAAGCAGGUAGGAUUGAUACUUUGGAAAAUCCGGGUAUCUUUAAGUCCGAGAUGCGAAUAGGAGAGUCGAAAGAUUCAUAAACCGACCGAUUCCAUGCUGCCAAGAAAAUCCUCGUAGCGAGUUAAUAUUGUAAUCGUACCGCAAACCGACACAGGUAGACUGGGAGAGUAUCCUAAGGCGCUUGAGAUAACUCUGGUUAAGGAACUCGGCAAAUUGACACCGUAACUUCGGGAUAAGGUGUGCCUGUUUUAGUUAAAGAUUUACUCUGUAAGCUUUAGCAGGCUUCAAUGAAAUGGCGGUAGCGACUGUUUAAUAAAAACACAGGUCUCUGCAAAGUCGCAAGACGAAGUAUAGGGACUGACGCCUGCCCGGUGCCGGAAGGUUAAAAGGAGAGGUUAAUGCCGCAAGGCGUGAAGCUUUGAAUUGAAGCCCCGGUAAACGGCGGCCGUAACUAUAACGGUCCUAAGGUAGCGAAAUUCCUUGUCGGGUAAGUUCCGACCUGCACGAAUGGCGUAACGACUUCCGCGCUGUCUCAACCAGAGGCUCAGCGAAAUUGAAUUACCGGUGAAGAUGCCGGUUACCCGCAACUAGACGGAAAGACCCCAUGCACCUUUACUAUAGCUUGGCAUUGAAAUAUGGAACGAUAUGUGUAGGAUAGGUGGGAGACUGGGAAGCCGCGGCGCUAGCCGUGGUGGAGUCAACCUUGAAAUACCACCCUUAUUUUUCUGUGUUUCUAACUACAAUCCGUAAUCCGGAUUUAGGACAAUGUCUGGUGGGUAGUUUGACUGGGGCGGUCGCCUCCUAAAGAGUAACGGAGGCGCGCUAAGGUUCCCUCAAGCUGAUUGGAAACCAGCUGUAGAGUGCAAAGGCAUAAGGGAGCUUGACUGCAAGACUGACGGGUCGAGCAGGUACGAAAGUAGGUCUUAGUGAUCCGGUGGUCCCUCAUGGGAGGGCCAUCGCUCAACGGAUAAAAGGUACGCUGGGGAUAACAGGCUGAUCUCCUCCAAGAGCUCAUAUCGACGAGGAGGUUUGGCACCUCGAUGUCGGCUCAUCACAUCCUGGGGCUGUAGCAGGUCCCAAGGGUUUGGCUGUUCGCCAAUUAAAGUGGUACGCGAGCUGGGUUUAGAACGUCGUGAGACAGUUCGGUCCCUAUCUGUUGUGGGCGUAGGAAAUUUGAAGGGAGCUGUCCUUAGUACGAGAGGACCGGGAUGGACGAACCUCUAGUGUUCCAGUUAUCACGCCAGUGGUAAUGGCUGGGUAGCUAUGUUCGGAAGGGAUAACCGCUGAAAGCAUCUAAGUGGGAAGCCCCCCCUAAGAUUAGAUUUCCCCUGUGGCAACACAGCUAAAGAUCCCUCAUAGACUAUGAGGUUGAUAGGUCGGGUGUGUAAGCGCAGCAAUGUGUUUAGCUUACCGAUACUAAUAGAUCGUGAGGCUUAAUCAUUUAU